GCUGGGUGUGGUGGCUCACACCUGUAGUCCCAGCUACUUGGGAGGCUGAGGCAGGAGAAUUGCUUGAACCCGGGAGGCAGAGGUUGCAGUGAGCCGAGAUCGCGCCACUGCACUCCAGCCUGGGCAACAGAGCAAGACUCCGUCUCAA
rnacentral:SRP_RNA from 1 species